rnacentral:rRNA from 1 species
ACGGGUGAGUAAUGCCUAGGAAUCUGCCUGGUAGUGGGGGACAACGUCUCGAAAGGGACGCUAAUACCGCAUACGUCCUACGGGAGAAAGUGGGGGAUCUUCGGACCUCACGCUAUCAGAUGAGCCUAGGUCGGAUUAGCUAGUUGGUGAGGUAAUGGCUCACCAAGGCGACGAUCCGUAACUGGUCUGAGAGGAUGAUCAGUCACACUGGAACUGAGACACGGUCCAGACUCCUACGGGAGGCAGCAGUGGGGAAUAUUGGACAAUGGGCGAAAGCCUGAUCCAGCCAUGCCGCGUGUGUGAAGAAGGUCUUCGGAUUGUAAAGCACUUUAAGUUGGGAGGAAGGGUUGUAGAUUAAUACUCUGCAAUUUUGACGUUACCGACAGAAUAAGCACCGGCUAACUCUGUGCCAGCAGCCGCGGUAAUACAGAGGGUGCAAGCGUUAAUCGGAAUUACUGGGCGUAAAGCGCGCGUAGGUGGUUUGUUAAGUUGAAUGUGAAAUCCCCGGGCUCAACCUGGGAACUGCAUCCAAAACUGGCAAGCUAGAGUAGGGCAGAGGGUGGUGGAAUUUCCUGUGUAGCGGUGA